rnacentral:rRNA from 1 species
UAGGGAAUCUUCCGCAAUGGACGAAAGUCUGACGGAGCAACGCCGCGUGAGUGAUGAAGGUUUUCGGAUCGUAAAACUCUGUUGUUAGGGAAGAACAAGUUGGGUAGUAACUGACCCAACCUUGACGGUACCUAACCAGAAAGCCACGGCUAACUACGUGCCAGCAGCCGCGGUAAUACGUAGGUGGCAAGCGUUGUCCGGAAUUAUUGGGCGUAAAGCGCUCGCAGGCGGUCUUUUAAGUCUGAUGUGAAAGCCCACGGCUUAACCGUGGAGGGUCAUUGGAAACUGGAGGACUUGAGUACAGAAGAGGAGAGUGGAAUUCCACGUGUAGCGGUGAAAUGCGUAGAGAUGUGGAAGAACACCAGUGGCGAAGGCGACUCUCUGGUCUGUAACUGACGCUGAGGAGCGAAAGCGUGGGUAGCGAACAGG